rnacentral:rRNA from 1 species
UACAGAGGUCUCAAGCGUUGUUCGGAUUCAUUGGGCGUAAAGGGUGCGUAGGCGGCGCGGUAAGUCGGGUGUGAAAUCUUGGAGCUUAACUCCGAAACUGCAUUCGAUACUGCCGUGCUUGAGGACUGGAGAGGAGACUGGAAUUUACGGUGUAGCGGUGAAAUGCGUAGAUAUCGUAAGGAAGACCAGUGGCGAAGGCGGGUCUCUGGACAGUUCCUGACGCUGAGGCACGAAGGCCAGGGGAGCAAACCGG